GACGAACGCUGGCGGCGUGCUUAACACAUGCAAGUCGAACGGUGAAGCGCCUUCCUUUUUGGUGGGUGUGGAUGAGUGGCGAACGGGUGAGUAACACGUGAGUAACCUGCCCCCUUCUUCUGGAAAACCGCAUGAAAGUGUGGCUAAUACGGGAUAUUCUGGGUCUGUCGCAUGAUGGGUCUGGGAAAGAUAUUGUUUCGGUGGGGGAUGGGCUCGCGGCCUAUCAGCUUGUUGGUGGGGUGAUGGCCUACCAAGGCGGUGACGGGUAGCCGGCCUGAGAGGGUUGCCGGUCACACUGGGACUGAGACACGGCCCAGCCUCCUGCGGGAGGCAGCAGUGGGGAAUAUUGCACAAUGGGCGCAAGCCUGAUGCAGCGACGCCGCGUGAGGGAUGGAGGCCUUCGGGUUGUGAACCUCUUUCGCCAGUGAAGCAGGCCUGCCUCGUUUGUGGGUGGGUUGACGGUAGCUGGAUAAGAAGCGCCGGCUAACUACGUG
rnacentral:rRNA from 1 species